CCUACGGGCGGCUGCAGUGGGGAAUAUUGGACAAUGGGGGGAACCCUGAUCCAGCCAUGCCGCGUGUGUGAAGAAGGCCCUCGGGUUGUAAAGCACUUUCAGUGAGGAAGAACGCCUGGUGGUUAAUACCCAUCAGGAAAGACAUCACUCACAGAAGAAGCACCGGCUAACUCCGUGCCAGCAGCCGCGGUAAUACGGAGGGUGCGAGCGUUAAUCGGAAUUACUGGGCGUAAAGCGCGCGUAGGUGGCUUGAUAAGCCGGUUGUGAAAGCCCCGGGCUCAACCUGGGAACGGCAUCCGGAACUGUCAAGCUAGAGUGCAGGAGAGGAAGGUAGAAUUCCCGGUGUAGCGGUGAAAUGCGUAGAGAUCGGGAGGAAUACCAGUGGCGAAGGCGGCCUUCUGGACUGAAACUGACACUGAGGUGCGAAAGCGUGGGUAGCAAACAGGAUUAGAUACCCUGGUAGUC
rnacentral:rRNA from 1 species